rnacentral:rRNA from 1 species
AGUGAACGCUGGCGGUAGGCCUAACACAUGCAAGUCGAACGGCAGCACAGUAUGAGCUUGCUCUUACGGGUGGCGAGUGGCGGACGGGUGAGGAAUACAUCGGAAUCUACUUUUUCGUGGGGGAUAACGUAGGGAAACUUACGCUAAUACCGCAUACGACCUACGGGUGAAAGCAGGGGAUCUUCGGACCUUGCGCGAUUGAAUGAGCCGAUGUCGGAUUAGCUAGUUGGCGGGGUAAAGGCCCACCAAGGCGACGAUCCGUAGCUGGUCUGAGAGGAUGAUCAGCCACACUGGAACUGAGACGCGGUCCAGACUCCUACGGGAGGCAGCAGUGGGGAAUAUUGGACAAUGGGCGCAAGCCUGAUCCAGCCAUACCGCGUGGGUGAAGAAGGCCUUCGGGUUGUAAAGCCCUUUUGUUGGGAAAGAAAAGCAGCAGGUUAAUACCCCGCUGUUCUGACGGUACCCAAAGAAUAAGCACCGGCUAACUUCGUG